rnacentral:rRNA from 1 species
ACUCCGUACGGGAGGCAGCAGGUAGGGUAAUAUUGCACAAUGGGGGAAACCCUGAUGCAGCCAUGCCGCGUGUGUGAAGAAGGCCUUCGGGUUGUAAAGCACUUUCAGUAGGGAGGAAGGUAGUGUAGUUAACACCUGCACUAUUUGACGUUACCUACAGAAGAAGCACCGGCUAACUCCGUGCCAGCAGCCGCGGUAAUACGGAGGGUGCGAGC